UUGACCCUAACGCUGGUAGACUGGUCCCUAGCGAGGUAAAUGGAGUUGACCCUAACGCUGGUAGACUGGUCCCUAGCUAGGUAAAUGGAGUUGACCCAAACCCUGGUAGAUGGGUCCCUAGCUAGGUAAAUGGAGUUGACCCUAACCCUGGUAGAUGGGUCCCUAGCUAGGUAAAUGGAGUUGACCCUAACGCUGGUAGAUGGGUCCCUAGCUAGGUAAAUGGAGUUGACCCUAAUGCUGGUAGAUGGGUCCCUAGCUAGGUAAAUGGAGUUGGCCCAAACCCUGGUAGACGGGUCCCUAGCUAGGUAAAUGGAGUUGGCCCAAACCCUGGUAGAUGGGUCCCUAGCUAGGUAAAUGGAGUUGACCCUAACGCUGGUAGAUGGGUCCCUAGCUAGGUAAAUGGAGUUGACCCUAACCCUGGUAGAUGGGUCCCUAGCUAGGUAAAUGGAGUUGACCCUAACGCUGGUAGAUGGGUCCCUAGCUAGGUAAAUGGAGUUGACCCUAACCCUGGUAGAUGGGUCCCUAGCUAGGUAAAUGGAGUUGACCCUAACGCUGGUAGAUGGGUCCCUAGCUAGGUAAAUGGAGUUGACCCUAACGCUGGUAGAUGGGUCCCUAGCUAGGUAAAUGGAGUUGACCCUAACCCUGGUAGAUGGGUCCCUAGCUAGGUAAAUGGAGUUGACGCUAACGCUGGUAGAUGGGUCCCUAGCUAGGUAAAUGGAGUUGACCCUAACCCUGGUAGAUGGGUCCCUAGCUAGGUAAAUGGAGUUGACCCUAACGCUGGUAGAUGGGUCCCUAGCUAGGUAAAUGGAGUUGACCCUAACGCUGGUAGAUGGGUCCCGAGCUAGGUAAAUGGAGUUGACCCUAACGCUGGUAGAUGGGUCCCUAGCUAGGUAAAUGGAGUUGACCCUAACGCUGGUAGAUGGGUCCCUAGCUAGGUAAAUGGAGUUGACCCUAACCCUGGUAGAUGGGUCCCUAGCUAGGUAAAUGGAGUUGACGCUAACCCUGGUAGAUGGGUCCCUAGCUAGGUAAAUGGAGUUGACCAGCAGGAUAAAUGAACUGUCUUUGUUUUGACUGGGGAGUUUAUUAGUGAGCAGGAUAAAUGAACUGACUGGUCUUUGACUGGGGAGUUUAUUAGUGAGCAGGAUAAACCAGGUCAAACCUGAACGACGCCGGAGCCAAUUGUGCGCCGCCCCACGAUACUCCCAAUCACGGCCGGGUGUGAUACAGCCUGGAUUCGAACCAGGAGCUCUCAAUACAAGCUGUUGCCAACAAAGAAACAAACUCAAGAGUCAAAACAGGGAACCCGCCCAUAGAAGACAGGACAGUGGAUGGAAGAGCGCGAGAGAGAGUGAAGAGGACGGAGGUUAAGAUACAGGGGCUGGUCAACAGGUAAGAACC